rnacentral:rRNA from 1 species
UACGGAGGAGGCAAGCGUUAUCCGGAAUUAUUGGGCGUAAAGCGUCCGCAGGUGGCACUUCAAGUCUGUCGUCAAAGACUGGGGCUUAACCCUGGAAAGGCGGUGGAAACUGAAGCGCUAGAGUGUGGUAGGGGUAGAGGGAAUUCCCGGUAUAGCGGUGAAAUGCGUAGAGAUCGGGAAGAACAUCGGUGGCGAAGGCGGCCUUCUGGACCAAUACUGACGCUCAUGCACGAAAGCGUGGGGAGCAAACAGG